rnacentral:rRNA from 1 species
AUUGAACGCUGGCGGCAGGCUUAACACAUGCAAGUCGAGCGGGGGAGGUUGCUUCGGUAACUGACCUAGCGGCGGACGGGUGAGUAAUGCUUAGGAAUCUGCCUAUUAGUGGGGGACAACAUUCCGAAAGGGAUGCUAAUACCGCAUACGCCCUACGGGGGAAAGCAGGGGAUCUUCGGACCUUGCGCUAAUAGAUGAGCCUAAGUCGGAUUAGAUAGUUGGUGGGUGAAAGGCCUACCAAGGCGACGAUCUGUAGCGGGUCGGAGAGGAUGAACCGCCACACUGGGACGUAGACACGGCCCAGACUCCGACGGGAGGCAGCAGUGGGGAAUAUUUGACAAUGGGCGUCAGCCUGAGCCAGCCAUGCCGCGUGUGUGAAGAAGGCCUUUUGGUUGUAAAGCUCUUUAAGCGAGGAGGAGGCUCUUAAGGUUAAUACCCUUGAUGAGUGGCCGCUACUCGCAGAAUAAGCACCGGCUAACUCUGUGCCAGCAGCCGCCGUAAAAC